CUGCUGAACGCUGUCGAAAUGAGGGUGGAUAUCGAGGAAACCGGGGGUGACGAUCAUGCCUUCGACCGAAAGGAUGUCGGUUGCCGGCGCCACGAUCAGCCCCGGCGUGAUGUCCAUGGUGUCGGGGUUGCCCGCCUUGCCGACGCCGACGAUCUUGCCGUCCUUGAUGCCGAUGUCGCCCUUCACGACGCCGAGGACCGGGUCGAUGAUCACGGCAUUGGUCACCACCAGGUCCAGCGCUCCGUCGCGGGAUUUCCAUUUCGAUGCCUGGCCCAUGCCGUCGCGA
rnacentral:sRNA from 1 species